rnacentral:rRNA from 1 species
UACGGGGGGAGCAAGCGUUGUUCGGAUUUACUGGGCGUAAAGGGCGCGUAGGCGGCCACCGCAAGUCGACUGUGAAAUCUCCGGGCUUAACCCGGAAAGGUCAGCCGAUACUGCGGGGCUAGAGUGCAGAAGGGGCAACUGGAAUUCUCGGUGUAGCGGUGAAAUGCGUAGAUAUCGUGAGGAAGACCAGUGGCGAAGGCGGAUCUCUGGACAGUUCCUGACACUGAGGCACGAAGGCCAGGGGAGCAAACGGG